CGUUGUACACCAUAAACAUAUACAAUUCAUUUAUCAAUUGAAAUAGUAACAAUAAGUUUUUUUUUUUUUUAAAAAAGAUCUCUGGUCAUAAUGUGGAGAUAAGACUGCAGGGUGUGAGGCAGAAGUCCAAUUUCAAGGUUCCUGCUGUAGGUGAGAAGAGGAACCUGAGGCACAGAGAGAGGUUAAGUAACCGGCUCAGGAGUCUAGAGCACCAAGUGGCAGAACCUGGAGGAAAACCCAGGUGUAACUGAUUCCAAAGUCAAGGGGUCUCACCAACUUGCCAUCCUGCCUCUCAGGCCAGUUGGAAUACACGGAGGGUUUGUGGUCUGGGGAACAGCCAAGCAGAGAUGUCAACCAUACAAUGGGAUAGAAAUCCAGUCGCAACCUUAGGAGGGAUCAGGACAGGAGAGAAACUGCAGUGUCAAGCUCAAGUUGAACUCAGCAUACAGACAGUGUUUAAAGCCGUGCCAUCAGAGAUGGCCCCAGGAGUCUGUGUAGAGCAAAGAGGACCCCAGACCAAGUUCGAGGAGCAAUGCCAUUUGAAGACUGGGAAGAGAAAUCAGUGAAGGAGAUGGAGAAGGCCAGGCUGAAGAGCGAGAGGAACUCAGGAUGUGAUAUCAUGAAAGUCAUGGGAACGGAGGUGUUUUUAACCAUGUCUCACUGCCACCCGAGGUACACUACACAGGUGCUCCAUGAGAUUUAUGGAAACUUUGUACAUUUACACAUUUCACAUGGCUGAUUCCAUUCUAAAAAAUUCAGACCCGACAUGAAUUAAUCAACUAACCACUGUAUUUCUUAAACGGACUUCCAAGGACCUCACAAUCAUUUCAUUAAAAUGCUAAAUCCUUUAGAUGA